UACGGGGGGAGCAAGCGUUGUUCGGAUUUACUGGGCGUAAAGGGCGCGAAGGCGGCCACCGCAAGUCAAUUGUGAAAUCUCCGGGCUUAACUCGGAACGGUCAACUGAUACUGCGGGGCUAGAGUGCGGAAGGGGCAACUGGAAUUCUCGGUGUAGCGGUGAAAUGCGUAGAUAUCGAGAGGAACACCUGCGGCGAAGGCGGGUUGCUGGGCCGACACUGACGCUGAUGCGCGAAAGCCAGGGGAGCGAACGGG
rnacentral:rRNA from 1 species